CUCAUAGUAAUGUGAUGAAGUUUGAAUGAUCCUGCCUGCAAACAAAUCAUCCAAAACUGUAUUUAUUCCUUGAGAAAGGAGAAGAAUACUUUAAGAAAGAAGGAAGGCAUCAGAAAUGCUGAUUACAAAGCCACCAUGUAUUAUGGGCAAAAGAACUG